rnacentral:sRNA from 1 species
CUGCUGCUGCACCUGUUGCUGCAGCUGCUGCUGCAGCUGCUGCUGCAACUGCUGCUGCAACUGCUGCUGCAGCUGUUGCUGCAGCUGUUGCUGCAGCUGCUGCUGCAACUGCUGCUGCAGCUGUUGCUGCAGCUGCUGCUGCAGCUGCUGCUGCAACUGCUGCUGCAACUGCUGCUGCAACUGCUGCUGCAGCUGUUGCUGCAGCUGCUGCUGCAGCUGCUGCUGCAGCUCAACCGCGCAUUCAAUUAUAAGGUCCAACCCCGGUUU